ensembl:lncRNA UCA1 urothelial cancer associated 1
AGAAUUAGGGCCUGUCCUUGAGAAGCCACAGGGUACAACCCAUUUCAAUUUUAUAUGGAUGCACCUUCUUACUCAGCCACAAUCUUGUUCCAGACACCAGCCCCCUGGGCAACUAUCUUCCAGUCCUCUAGCAGGCUAGACAGGAAAUUUGCCAAGCUGCUAAUCUUCUCUUGCCUACUCCAGAUUCCCAGCCAUAUGAAGACACCCUAGCUGGACGAUCAGUCCUUGUCAAAAGUCUGACCCCUCAAACUCUACAGCCUCAAUGGACCAGACCCUACCCGGUCAUUUAUAGCACACCAACUGCCGUCCAUCUGCAGGACCCUCUCCAUUGGGUUCACCAUUCCAGAAUAAAGCCAUGCCCAUCAGACAGCCAGCUUGAUCUCUCCUCUUCCUCCUGGAAGCCACAAGAUUAGGCCGAGAGCCGAUCAGACAAACAACCUACAACCCUUAAGCUCCUGGCAGCGCCCAGCCAAGGCCAUGCUUCCUUGCAACACUCCUUCCAAAUGGCCAUCCCAGCAUGCUUCCAAGCAGGCUUCAUCCGUUCCUCUGGACCCUCAUCUCUUAAGACCUGCCGCCUAUAAAAAGGAUUAUAUCUUGAGACCCUAUCCUCUAAAAUUUUUUCCACACCCAAAACAAAAAAUCUCUGGGUCAAAAGUCUAAAACGCUUAGGCUGGCAACCAUCAGAUCCUUGCCCAUGGUGUCCUCAAGCCUACUCUCAUGAAAUGGACAACAGUACACGCAUAUGGGGCCAGUUCCACAUAUUUGGCAACCAGACCAGCAUCCAGGACAACACAAAGAUCUGCAAUCAGAACUAUUGAACUUCUCCAUUCAGACCGCCACUCACACCUAUGGGAAAAGGGUAAUGUAUCAUCGGCUUAGCAACAGGGAAUACUAUUCGUAUGAUGGAAAAUGGGGACAAAAGGCUUUGGUACAUAAAACAUUAUUCCUUCCUUGGCCUAAAAACUCAUCGCCACCUACAUUAAAGCUAAUAUGCCUGA